rnacentral:rRNA from 1 species
GCAUAUCAAUAAGCGGAGGAAAAGAAACCAACAGGGAUUGCCCCAGUAACGGCGAGUGAAGCGGCAAGAGCUCAAAUUUGAAAGCUGGCUCCUUCGGGGUCCGCAUUGUAAUUUGCAGAGGAUGCUUCGGCAGCGGUCCCCGUCUAAGUACCCUGGAACGGGUCGUCAUAGAGGGUGAGAAUCCCGUAUGGGACGGGGUGCCCGCUACCGUGUGAAGCUCCUUCGACGAGUCGAGUUGUUUGGGAAUGCAGCUCUAAAUGGGUGGUAAAUUUCAUCUAAAGCUAAAUAUUGGCCGGAGACCGAUAGCGCACAAGUAGAGUGAUCGAAAGAUGAAAAGCACUUUGAAAAAGAGAGUUAAAAAGCACGUGAAAUUGUUGAAAGGGAAGCGCUUGCGACCAGACUCGCCCACGGGGUUCAGCCGGCAUUCGUGCCGGUGUACUUCCCCGCGGGCGGGCCAGCGUCGGUUUGGGCGGCCGGUCAAAGGCCCUCGGAAUGUAACGCCCCCCGGGGCGUCUUAUAGCCGAGGGUGCCAUGCGGCCUGCCCGGACCGAGGAACGCGCUUCGGCUCGGACGCUGGCAUAAUGGUCGUAAGCGACCCGUCUUGAAACACGGACCAAGGAGUCUAACAUCUACGCGAGUGUUCGGGUGUCAAACCCGUGCGCGCAGUGAAAGCGAACGGGAGGUGGGAACCCUCACGGGGUGCACCAUCGACCGAUCCUGAUGUCUUCGGAUGGAUUUGAGUAAGAGCGUAGCUGUUGGGACCCGAAAGAUGGUGAACUAUGCCUGAAUAGGGCGAAGCCAGAGGAAACUCUGGUGGAGGCUCGCAGCGGUUCUGACGUGCAAAUCGCUCGUCGAAAUUUGGGGAAUAAGGGCGAAAGACUAAUCGAA